GAUGAACGCUAGCUACAGGCUUAACACAUGCAAGUCGAGGGGUAGCAGGGUAGCAAUACCGCUGACGACCGGCGCACGGGUGAGUAACACGUAUCCAACCUUCCCAUAACUCGGGGAUAGCCUUUCGAAAGAAAGAUUAAUACCGGAUGGUACUUUUUCAAGGCAUCUUGAGAAAGUUAAAGAUUUAUUGGUUAUGGAUGGGGAUGCGUUCCAUUAGAUAGUUGGUGAGGUAACGGCUCACCAAGUCUUCGAUGGAUGGGAGUUCUGAGAGGAAGGUCCCCCACAUUGGUACUGAGACACGGACCAAACUCCUACGGGAGGCAGCAGUGAGGAAUAUUGGUCAAUGGGCGAGAGCCUGAACCAGCCAAGUAGCGUGAAGGAUGAAGGUCCUAUGGAUUGUAAACUUCUUUUAUAGUAGAAUAAAGUGAUCCACGUGUGGAUUUUUGUAUGUAUACUAUGAAUAAGGAUCGGCUAACUCCGUGCCAGCAGCCGCAGUAA
rnacentral:rRNA from 1 species